UAUAUUAAGUGUAGGGGCGUCUGCUAUUUUAUCUCAAAAAACCCUACAAAACUUCCCCUUUUCUCAGACCCAAAUAACUGAUGCCGUCGUCUCGCAUUCAUGAAAUUGAGAGGACAAAGCCUUGGAAUUGUUGCACUAGAUAACCAUAAGCUCAUUAUUCAUGAAGGACUUGCAAUGUUGGAUCAAGGAGAUGACAUUCUGCUUUUCAGUUGAUAUGCAAAAAUUAGAGUCAAGAAGAGGACAGUCCUAUGCAAAGGGUGUUGCCAUAGAGAUUCAAGUUGCCUCUUUGUACGGAGGCUCACUAAGUGAACUGUUGUGAAUCAGUGUUCUUGUGGUCGGCAUUGGUCUUUAUUUAUAGUUAGCAUUCAGCUUGUUCUGAAGAUGAACAAGGAUAAAAAUUUAUAUUCUAUGAGAACUAUUACCGAAUGAUGGUGUAAGAUUUGAAAAAAUAAUAUAUAAGUGACCCUUUUGUUUUAAUUCAAAUUUCUUUUGUAGGGUAUGAUAUUGUAAUAUCAAAAUUAUAUGAA